CUGACCAGAAGCAGGGAGGAAGUGGAGUUCUUUUUUAAGUUUCUAGCCCUAGGGAAACAGUUCCUGUUCCCCUGUUUUGCUUCCUUGUGCCUGUUCCUCACGGUACGCCUGCCAUUCAGAAGAGGGCAUUUGCCAAAAUCUUCCCACAGGAGCACAUACCAUCUUGGUUCCUCAAAUAUUCAAGACUGUUCUGAUGCAAGUUGACAUUACCAAAAAGUGGGAGGUCCCCCUGGUGGAUUGGAGGAACUUCCACUAAGUUAUGUCACAUAGAAAGAAGGUGUUCUACUCUAAGCCUGUAGUACAUCCUGUGGAAGAGUCACACCUUCCAUGUGGACCACUCUGUGACAACCUGGGGGCCAGCCGCAACUCCACCAGUCAACUGUUGUGUCUUCUAGAAGAAUCUAUGGCCAUAACUUAGUCCUAAAAUCUGAACCAGUCUCCCAACUUCUCCCUUUAAUAGUUUUGUCAUUUGUGGGUGAUCCUUGCCGGCUCCUCAGCCCCCACUAUUGUGAAAAACAACUGCUCCUCUGGUAAACCUACUUUAGCAAUUUUCUGUUUCUUUUUUCUAAAACAAUUUAUGCCCCAUAAUUUUCUUUAUGGCCAGGCCCACAAUGGAAGGUAUUCCUUUGCUUAUUCCCCACUUGGACUGCCUAUACUUCUUUGCCAAAUGACUUUAGUCACAUUUUUCCCUUUAUGUGGAAUAAUCUUUUCUACUCCAUGUGCCCACUGGGGACAAUAUCCCAGGUCAAAUGAUCCUUCCAUGAAAGCUUCUUGUAUUCUCCACAAACAACAAGUAUCUUCUCCGUUUAUUUUGUGCUUUACCCUUUUAAUUUUGCAUGCUUAUUAAUUAGGUACAGUUUAAAAAUGCAGACACCAUCAGAUCUGUAAAGUUUAGGAAUCUUGUCUCAUUACCAGG